AACAUCGCGCACCUGCGGGAACCUGCGGAGGGAUCAUUACUGAGUCACGUGCUCAAACAACCCUUCUGUGGACCUGAAAUAAAACCGUUGCCUCGGCGGGCGGUCCCCCCCAAACCAACCCCACGUGGUGGGUUAGGGGAGACCAGACAGUCCGGUACGCUUAAGGCGUCCGGCGCCAGCCGCUGGCCCCAAACAAUUAAACUCUAGUAAUCUUUGCCUUCUGAGUUUCAAUAUUUAAAA
rnacentral:misc_RNA from 1 species